UGCAAGUCGAACGGUAGCACAGAGAGCUUGCUCUUGGGUGACGAGUGGCGGACGGGUGAGUAAUGUCUGGGAAACUGCCUGAUGGAGGGGGAUAACUACUGGAAACGGUAGCUAAUACCGCAUAACGUCUUCGGACCAAAGUGGGGGACCUUCGGGCCUCACACCAUCGGAUGUGCCCAGAUGGGAUUAGCUAGUAGGUGGGGUAAUGGCUCACCUAGGCGACGAUCCCUAGCUGGUCUGAGAGGAUGACCAGCCACACUGGAACUGAGACACGGUCCAGACUCCUACGGGAGGCAGCAGUGGGGAAUAUUGCACAAUGGGCGCAAGCCUGAUGCAGCCAUGCCGCGUGUAUGAAGAAGGCCUUCGGGUUGUAAAGUACUUUCAGCGGGGAGGAAGGCGAUAAGGUUAAUWACCCUUGUCGAUUGGACGUUAACCCGCAGAAGAAGCCACCGGCUAACUGCCGUGCCAGCAGACCGCGGUAAUACGGAGGGUGCAAGCGUUAAUCGGAAUUACUGGGCGUAAAGCGCACGCAGGCGGUCUGUCAAGUCAGAUGUGAAAUCCCCGGGCUUAACCUGGGAACUGCAUUUGAAACUGGCAGGCUAGAGUCUUGUAGAGGGGGGUAGAAUUCCAGGUGUAGCGGUGAAAUGCGUAGAGAUCUGGAGGAAUACCGGUGGCGAAKGCGGCCCCCUGGACAAAGACUGACGCUCAGGUGCGAAAGCGUGGGGAGCAAACAGGAUUAGAUACCCUGGUAGUCCACGCCGUAAACGAUGUCGACUUGGAGGUUGUGCCCUUGAGGCGUGGCUUCCGGAGCUAACGCGUUAAGUCGACCGCCUGGGGAGUACGGCCGCAAGGUUAAAACUCAAAUGAAUUGACGGGGGCCCGCACAAGCGGUGGAGCAUGUGGUUUAAUUCGAUGCAACGCGAAGAACCUUACCUGGCCUUGACAUCCACGGAAUUCGGCAGAGAUGCCUUAGUGCCUUCGGGAACCGUGAGACAGGUGCUGCAUGGCUGUCGUCAGCUCGUGUUGUGAAAUGUUGGGUUAAGUCCCGCAACGAGCGCAACCCUUAUCCUUUGUUGCCAGCGAGUAAUGUCGGGAACUCAAAGGAGACUGCCGGUGACAAACCGGAGGAAGGUGGGGAUGACGUCAAGUCAUCAUGGCCCUUACGGCCAGGGCUACACACGUGCUACAAUGGCGCAUACAAAGAGAAGCGAACUCGCGAGAGCAAGCGGACCUCACAAAGUGCGUCGUAGUCCGGAUCGGAGUCUGCAACUCGACUCCGUGAAGUCGGAAUCGCUAGUAAUCGUAGAUCAGAAUGCUACGGUGAAUACGUUCCCGGGCCUUGUACACACCGCCCGUCACACCAUGGGAGUGGGUUGCAAAAGAAGUAGGUAGCUUAACCUUC
rnacentral:rRNA from 1 species